AGAAAAAUUGUGUUUUUAUUUAUUUUUAGAUUAAGGUUACAAUGAACAUUUCAUCACCGCCAUUUGGGUGCAGGUGGAAAAUAUGGGGUGUAGUAAGAAACUGCCCCUUAUUUGUCCUUGACCCAACACAAACAAAAACUAAUAAUAAAUAAUGAUUUGCACGCAUUUUCUGCGUUUGGUUGGAGACAGGAGCCAGAAGCUUGUCGAUCAACUAGCCACACAAUAACCAGGACGAUGAGGAUCUUCGGAAAACACGUUUUCCCGAGCCAGAUUAUACUUUUUGCUUCUGGGCUUUUGUUCUUUGCAUCAACAACCUAUGAUGUCCAUAGAUCCAUCAAGAACAACCAAACACCCCCUUCCCAAGAGCAAGUCAAAGCCCUUCAAGACUACAUCGAAUCUGCGCGUCGCUCCCGUUAAAUCAACGGCAUGUAUUUUGCCACGUCAUCUUAUCAACACAUGCUUUAUAAUGUGAACUUCACAUUCUUGGCAUAUGAGCAUCUUUAUUUUGACGUUAGCUUAUAAGUAAUCAGUUUUAGUUCCACUAAACAAAAUAUAAAAAAUGGCCCAUGCAGGUUUCGAACCUGCGACCUUCGCGUUAUUAGCACGACGCUCUAACCAGCUGAGCUAAUAGGCCUUCUUGUUAUAAGUGAUGUGUUCUCUGAAUUUAUCCUAUUCAAUCAUUUAAACAUUCUCCAAAUUUCAUGUAAUGUCUGGAAAGUGUAUCUUUAAAAAACAAUUAUCAAUUUUCCAUCUGUCAAAUAA